UACGUAGGGGGCUAGCGUUGUCCGGAAUCAUUGGGCGUAAAGCGCGUGUAGGCGGUCCGGUAAGUCCGCUGUGAAAGUCAGGGGCUCAACCCUUGAAAGCCGGCCGAUACUGUCGGACUAGAGUCCGGAAGAGGCAAGUGGAAUUCCCGGUGUAGCGGUGAAAUGCGCAGAUAUCGGGAAGAACACCCGUGGCGAAGGCGGUUCUCUGGGACGGUACUGACGCUGAGACGCGAAAGCGUGGGGAGCGAACAGG
rnacentral:rRNA from 1 species